CAUACACCGGUUCCAAUACGAUCACAUAAUAUAAGCAACGUCGAGCCUGGUUAGUACUUAGAUGGGUGACCGCUUAGGAAUACCAGGUGCAGCAA